GAUGAACGCUGGCGGCGUGCCUAAUACAUGCAAGUCGAGCGAACAGACGAGGAGCUUGCUCCUCUGACGUUAGCGGCGGACGGGUGAGUAACACGUGGAUAACCUACCUAUAAGACUGGGAUAACUUCGGGAAACCGGAGCUAAUACCGGAUAAUAUAUUGAACCGCAUGGUUCAAUAGUGAAAGACGGUUUUGCUGUCACUUAUAGAUGGAUCCGCGCCGCAUUAGCUAGUUGGUAAGGUAACGGCUUACCAAGGCGACGAUGCGUAGCCGACCUGGGAGGGUGAUCGGCCACACGGGAACUGAGACACGGUCAAGACUCCUACGGGAGGCAGCAGUAGGGAAUCGUCCGCAAAGGGCGAAAGCCUGACGGAGCAACGCCGCGUGAGUGAUGAAGGUCUUCGGAUCGUAAAACUCUGUUAUUAGGGAAGAACAAAUGUGUAAGUAACUAUGCACGUCUUGACGGUACCUAAUCAGAAAGCCACGGCUAACUACGUG
rnacentral:rRNA from 1 species